rnacentral:rRNA from 1 species
UAAAAUGAAUAAGAGCGUACGGUGAAUGCCUUGGCAUUAAGAGCUGAUGAAGGACGUAACUAACGACGAAACGCUUCGGGGAGCCGUAAGUAGGCACUGAUCCGAAGAUAUCCGAAUGGGGCAACCCAGUUAUCGUAAUGGAUAACUACACAUAAGUGAAUACAUAGCUUAUGAUGAGACAACUCAGGGAAUUGAAACAUCUUAGUACCUGAAGGAGAAGAAAACAAUUUAGUGAUUCCCUUAGUAGUGGCGAGCGAAAAGGGAACAGCCCAAACCGACUUUGAGUCGGGGUUGUAGGACCACAUCAAAGAUCUAAGCGAUUAGUAGAAUGGCAUUGAAAGGCCAGCCAUAGAAGGUGCAAGCCCUGUAUAUGAAAAUCUACUUAGACUUAGUGGUAUCCUGAGUACGGCGAGGCACGUGAAACCUUGUCGGAAUCUGCCAGGACCAUCUGGUAAGGCUAAAUACUCCUUAAUGACCGAUAGUGAACCAGUACUGUGAAGGAAAGGUGAAAAGAACCGCUGACGCGGAGUGAAAUAGAACCUGAAACCGUAUGCUUACAAAAAGUCAGAGCACAUUAACGUGUGAUGGCGUGCCUUUUGUAGAAUGAACCGGCGAGUUACGAUUACAUGCAAGGUUAAGCGAUAGACGCGGAGCCGAAGCGAAAGCGAGUCUUAAUAGGGCGAUAGUUUGUAGUCGUAGACCCGAAGCCGUUGUGAUCUACCCAUGACCAGGUUGAAGUUUAGGUGAUACUAAAUGGAGGACCGAACCGACCCCCGUUGAAAAGUUGGCGGAUGAGUUGUGGGUAGCGGAGAAAUUCCAAUCGAACACGGCGAUAGCUGGUUCUCCCCGAAAUAGCUUUAGGGCUAGCGUCGAGCGAAUCUUACUGCAGGUAGAGCACUGAAUUUAUGAUGGCCUCAUCUCGAGGUACUGAUUAGAAUCAAACUCCGAAUGGUAGUAAAGAAUACUCGGCAGUCAGACUGUGGGUGAUAAGGUCCAUGGUCAAAAGGGAAACAGCCCAGAUCAUCAGUUAAGGUCCCAAAAUAUAUGCUAAGUGGAAAAGGAUGUGAGGAUGCACAGACAACUAGGAGGUUGGCUCAGAAGCAGCCACCCUUUAAAGAGUGCGUAACAGCUCACUAGUCGAGUGCCCUUGCGCCGAAAAUUUACCGGGGCUAAGCAUAUUACCGAAACUAUGGCAAUAAUUUAUUAUUGGGUAGGGGAGCGUUCUAAGCAGCGUUGAAGAUAUACCGUAAGGAGUGUUGGAGCGCUUAGAAGUGAGAAUGCCGGUGUGAGUAGCGAAAUGUAGGUGAGAAUCCUACACACCGAUUGACUAAGGUUUCCAGGGGAAGGCUCGUCCUCCCUGGGUAAGUCGGGACCUAAGGCGAGGCAGAAAUGCGUAGUCGAUGGACAACAGGUUGAUAUUCCUGUACCCGCUAAAUGAGUGAUGGAGUGACAGAUGGAGUUAUUAUGAGCCUCUUAUUGGAUUGAGGUUCAAGCAAGGUAGGAGUCUAGCAGGCAAAUCCACUAGACAAUCCGAAGAUGCGAAUACGAGCGAAAUGGCGACAAAGUAGCGAAGUCAUAUAUACCCUGUCUCAAGAAAAGCUUCUAAACUUAUCAUUUAGUGGCCCGUACCAAAACCGACACAGGUGGUCAAGGCGAGUAGCCUAAGGUGAGCGAGAGAACUGUUGCCAAGGAACUCGGCAAAAUUGUCCCGUACGUUCGCAAUAAGGGACGCUCGAAAGAGCCGCAGUGAAAAGGCCCAAGCAACUGUUUAACUAAAACACAGCUCUCUGCUAAGUCGCAAGACGAUGUAUAGGGGGUGACGCCUGCCCGGUGCUGGAAGGUUAAGAGGAUGAGUUAGCGUAAGCGAAGCUUUGAAUUGAAGCCCCAGUGAACGGCGGCCGUAACUAUAACGGUCCUAAGGUAGCGAAAUUCCUUGUCAGGUAAGUUCUGACCCGCACGAA